ACGCACGCUGGCGGCAUGCCUAACACAUGCAAGUCGCACGAGGCCUUCGGGUCUAGUGGCGCACGGGUGCGUAACGCGUGGGAACCUGCCCUUAGGUUCGGAAUAACUCCCCGAAAGGGGUGCUAAUACCGGAUAAUGUCUUCGGACCAAAGAUUUAUCGCCUUUGGAUGGGCCCGCGUUGGAUUAGCUAGUUGGUAGGGUAAAAGCCUACCAAGGCGACGAUCCAUAGCUGGUCUGAGAGGAUGAUCAGCCACACUGGGACUGAGACACGGCCCAGACUCCUACGGGAGGCAGCAGUGGGGAAUAUUGGACAAUGGGCGAAAGCCUGAUCCAGCAAUGCCGCGUGAGUGAUGAAGGCCUUAGGGUUGUAAAGCUCUUUUACCCGGGAUGAUAAUGACAGUACCGGGAGAAUAAGCUCCGGCUAACUCCGUG
rnacentral:rRNA from 1 species